rnacentral:rRNA from 1 species
GACGAACGCUGGCGGCGUGCUUAACACAUGCAAGUCGAACGGAAAGGCCCUGCUUUUGUGGGGUGCUCGAGUGGCGAACGGGUGAGUAACACGUGCGUAACCUGCCCUUGCCUUUGGGAUAACUUCAGGAAACUGGGGCUAAUACCGGAUAGGAGCUCCCGCUGCAUGGUGGGGGUUGGAAAGUUUCGGCUGUUGGGGAUGGACGCGCGGCUUGUCAGCUUGUUGGUGGGGUAGUGGCUUACCAAGGCAUUGACGGGUAGCCGGCCUGAGAGUGUGACCGGCCACAUUGGGACUGAGAUACGGCCCGGACUCGUACGGGAGGCAGCAGUGGGGAAUAUUGCACAAUGGGCGGAAGCCUGAUGCAGCAACGCCGCGUGCGGGAUGACGGCCUUCGGUUUGUAAACCGCUUUCGCCUGUGACGAAGUGGUAGUGACGGUAAUGGGUAAAGAAGCACCGGCUAACUACGUG